UAUUAUUAUUAUUAUUAUUAUUAUUAUUAUUAUUAUUAUUAUUAUUAUUAUUAUUAUAUAGUAGGCAGGCAUGUAGUGUAUGAUCCUCUGGAAACCACUUCCUCCAUUUUAUCUGGUGGCUGCCCAGGGUGAGGUGCACAAAAUAAGACAGUAGAUACACUAAAGAAAAGAACAACUCACCCUUGCUGCACUGGAUAGAGGACACCUGGAUACUGUAGAUUUAUACCUACAAAAUGCUGCUGUAAUCAUCAUCACUGCAGUCAUCACUUCACCUGUGUGCUGUAAUAAGUUAUAAUCACACUAUCCGGUGUCACCCACAAGAGGAUGGGUUCCCUACUGAGUCUGGUUCCUCUCAAGGUUUCCUCCUCAUGUCACCUCAGGGAGGUUUUCCUUGCCAUCGUUGCCUUAAAAGCUUGCUCACUAGGGAUCUAAAUCUACAUCCAGGUUUCUGUAACAAAAUAUCUACUGAACAAGAACAAUAAAAUGAAACGUUGAAAUGAA